rnacentral:rRNA from 1 species
GCAGUAGCCGCGGUAAUACGGAGGGUGCAAGCGUUAAUCGGAAUUACUGGGCGUAAAGCGCACGCAGGCGGUUUGUUAAGUCAGAUGUGAAAUCCCCGAGCUUAACUUGGGAACUGCAUUUGAAACUGGCAAGCUAGAGUCUUGUAGAGGGUGGUAGAAUUCCAGGUGUAGCGGUGAAAUGCGUAGAGAUCUGGAGGAAUACCGGUGGCGAAGGCGGCCCCCUGGACAAAGACUGACGCUCAGGUGCGAAGGCGUGGGGAGCAAACAGGAUUAGAUACCCCGGUAGUCCCUGUCUCUUAUAC